UACAGAGGUCUCAAGCGUUGUUCGGAUUCAUUGGGCGUAAAGGGUGUGUAGGUGGCGCCGUAAGUCGGGUGUGAAAUCUCGGAGCUUAACUCCGAAACUGCAUUCGAUACUGCCGUGCUUGAGGACUGGAGAGGAGACUGGAAUUUACGGUGUAGCGGUGAAAUGCGUAGAUAUCAUGAGGAAGACCAGUGGCGAAGGCGGGUCUCUGGACAGUUCCUGACACUGAGGCACGAAGGCCAGGGGAGCAAACGGG
rnacentral:rRNA from 1 species